AACGAACGCUGGCGGCAUGCCUAACACAUGCAAGUCGAACGAGACCUUCGGGUCUAGUGGCGCACGGGUGCGUAACGCGUGGGAACCUGCCCUUAGGUUCGGAAUAACUCCCCGAAAGGGGUGCUAAUACCGGAUAAUGUCUUCGGACCAAAGAUUUAUCGCCGUUGGAUGGGCCCGCGUUGGAUUAGCUAGUUGGUAGGGUAAAAGCCUACCAAGGCGACGAUCCAUAGCUGGUCUGAGAGGAUGAUCAGCCACACUGGGACUGAGACACGGCCCAGACUCCUACGGGAGGCAGCAGUAGGGAAUAUUGGACAAUGGGCGAAAGCCUGAUCCAGCAAUGCCGCGUGAGUGAUGAAGGCCUUAGGGUUGUAAAGCUCUUUUACCCGGGAUGAUAAUGACAGUACCGGGAGAAUAAGCUCCGGCUAACUCCGUG
rnacentral:rRNA from 1 species